rnacentral:rRNA from 2 species
AACAACUUUUGGCAACGGAUCUCUUGGUUCUCCCAUCGAUGAAGAACGCAGCGAAACGCGAUAGGUAAUGUGAAUUGCAGAAUGUGAAUCAUCGAAUCUUUGAACGCACCUUGCGCUCUCCUGGACUUACAUCCGGAGAGCAUGCCUGUCUGAGGGCCGCGAAUUUC